UUUUUUUGUUUGGCGGGCCUUUGAUUGCUAAUAAUUUCUACUAGGUUUUUUGUGUGCUAUUCUUUUCAUUUUCAAUUUUUAUAAAAUUUCGUAAAAAAAUCAAUGGCUGUAUAUUACAAGUUUAAGAGUGCAAGAGAUUAUGAUUCAAUCCCAAUGGACGGUCCAUUUGUAUCGGUUGGUACUUUGAAAGAAAAAAUUUUUGAAUCAAAGCACUUGGGCAGGGGUACAGACUUCGACCUUCUGGUCACUAACGCCCAAACUAAUGAAGGUUGGUGUCCUUCUAUCUAGGUGUAAUGGAUC
rnacentral:misc_RNA from 1 species